rnacentral:rRNA from 1 species
UACGUAGGGGGCGAGCGUUGUCCGGAUUUAUUGGGCGUAAAGAGCUCGUAGGCGGUUCGAUAAGUCGGACGUGAAAUCUCCACGCUCAACGUGGAGGGGCCGUUCGAUACUGUCGUGACUCGAGUCCGGUAGGGGAGUGUGGAAUUCCCGGUGUAGCGGUGAAAUGCGUAGAUAUCAGGAGGAACACCGGUGGCGAAGGCGCUCAUCUGGCCCAAUACUGACGCUGAGGCGCGAAAGCUAGGGGAGCAAACGGG